rnacentral:rRNA from 1 species
CCUACGGGUGGCAGCAGUGAGGAAUAUUGGUCAAUGGGCGGAAGCCUGAACCAGCCAAGUAGCGUGCGGGAUGAAGGCCCUACGGGUCGUAAACCGCUUUUGCACGGGGAUAACACCCUCCACUUGUGGAGGUCUGCAGGUACCGUGCGAAUAAGGGCCGGCGAAUUCCGUGCCAGCAGCCGCGGUAAUCCGGAAGGCCCGAGCGUUAUCGGGAUUCAUUGGGCUUAAAGGGAGCGUAGGCGGGCGUUAACGUCAGCUGUAAAAUCGCGCGGCUCAACCGCGCCCCGCAGUGGAAACGGGACGCAUGGAGUUCACAACAGGCAGGCGGAAGUCGUGGUGUAGCGGUGAAAUGCAUAGAUAGCACGAGGAACCCCGAUGGCGAAGGCAGCCUGCCGGGGUGCGACUGACGCUGAGGCUCGAAGGUGCGGGUAUCAAACAGGAUUAGAUACCCUGGUAGUC